CAGCAGCUAGUCUAAUCAAAGACCACUAAUUUCGACCUAGUAAAUCUCGCAUUACACGAGGCCGCUGC
rnacentral:tRNA from 1 species